UCGCCUGUUUUUUCAAAAACAUCGCCUCCUGCGAUCAAAUACUAUAGGAGGUCAAGCCUGCCCAGUGACUAUUAGUUUAACGGCCGCGGUAUUCUGACCGUGCAAAGGUAGCGUAAUCACUCGUCCUCUAAAUAGGGUCAAGUAUGAAAGGCUAAACGAGGGCUUAACUGUCUCCCCCUCCCAGUCAGUGAAAUUGAUCUGUCCGUGCAGAAGCGGACAUAAUUAUACAAGACGAGAAGACCCUUUGGAGCUUUAGGUACAAAACUUAACCAUAUUAAACAAGUUAAUAAAAACACUAAUCCCUAAUGGAAUUAAGACUAUACCUUCGGUUGGGGCGACCAUGGAGCAAAGAUUAACCUCCAAGUGGAAUGGGAAUACCCCAAAACUAAGAGAACCAUCUCUAAGCCACAGAAAUUCUGACCAAAAAUGAUCCGGUCAUUUGACCGAUUAACGAACCAAGUUACCCUAGGGAUAACAGCGCAAUCCUCUCCCAGAGCCCAUAUCGACGAGGGGGUUUACGACCUCGAUGUUGGAUCAGGACAUCCUAAUGGUGCAGCCGCUAUUAAG
rnacentral:rRNA from 1 species